GUGCCAGCCGCCGCGGUAAUACCGGCAGCUCAAGUGAUGGCCGCUGUUAUUGGGCCUAAAGCGUCCGUAGCCUGCCAGGUAAGUUCGUCGGGAAAUCUACGUGCCCAACACGUAGGCGGCCGGCGAAACCUGCCUGGCUUGGGACUGGAUGGCUCGAGGGGUACGACCGGGGUAGGAGUGAAAUCCUAUAAUCCUGGUCGGACCACCGGUGGCGAAAGCGCCUCGAGAAGACAGAUCCGACGGUGAGGGACGAAAGCCAAGGUCACGAACCGGAUUAGAUACCCCAGUAGUCC
rnacentral:rRNA from 1 species